rnacentral:lncRNA from 1 species
CUGCAUCCUCUAUCAAGCACUAUGGAAGAUAACCAUGGCAAGUGCUUUUUCUCUACAUUCUUUCAUUUUAUCCUCUUAUAUUAUUAUUUUAUUCUAUUUUAAAUCAGAUUGUCAAUUACGAAGAUUUUAGUCACGUUCCAAAUCAUGGAUGUAUCAAGAUUUUGGUACUGUGAAUGCUGGUGUGUUGAUAACUAAAAUAUAGACAUGUUAUAAUUGAUUGAAUAAUAUGUAUGGUUGUUUUUAAGUAUAUCACCUAAACAAAAUAAAUAAUUCAUAUGAAUAACCUUAUUAUUGACAUGAUACAACAAUAACUGAUUCCAUUAGCUAAGAUUGAUUGUAAUGGAUGAAAGAACAUUAUAAUAUUCUAUCAUAGAUCAUCUUAGUUAACAAAAAAUUGAUUUCUAAUUCAUAUGAAAUUUAAAUAAUAGGAUACAUUGCACAUAUCAUGACGAAAUAGUGUUGAAUUUCUAAAUAAAAGUGCAUCAAUUAGGAGUCUGAUUUGAUGACAAUCAUAUAUAUAUAUAAAUAUAUGUAUUUGAUGACAAUCAUAUAUAUAUAUAUAUAUAUAUAAAUAUAUGUAUAUGAUGCUUUUAAUGUGCCAUGGAUGUGCGAGUUAGGUUGGGAAUUAGAAAUAAGUGGAAUACUAAAUUGAAUUUAUCUAUCUUGCACUUAGAUUUUGAUGCUUAUUUAUUUAAUUUUCUCAUGUUUCACUUAACUUUUCUUGUUGAUUGAAAUGCAGUGGAAAAUGACCUUUUAAGAUAAAAAUAAAUUGUUUUUCUCUUUGGCUAAAAGACUAAACAAGUUAUCAUGAUGUUCAACAUUUUUUUGGAUGAAUUGGAACAUUUUAUGUGCUUGUAUAUAUUAGUUUAAGUUAUCAUGAUGUUCAACAUUUUUUGGAUGAAUUGGAACAUUUUAUGUGCUUGUAUCUAUUAGUUUAUCAUUUAUAAGUAGUUUUCCCCAAAUCACACUUUCUUCAUCUUCUCAAUUUUGGAGGAUACCUUGUCAGGAGUGUCAUAGGAUAUAAGUUAUAUAUCUAGUUAUUCAGAGGAUUUUGUUUAAAGGGAAGAAAUAGAUAGAUAAUAAGGAGUUGGGAGAUAACACCAAACUUAGCAAAAUGGAAGUUUGUAAGUUAUUUUAUCUUGUGUAAUUCUUGAAACAUUAAAACUUCUAAUAGAAAUUAGGAGUUCUAAUCUGUUUAUAUUCUUGUCAUUUUUUCUUGACGUGCAUGAAGGGGUGAGUGUUUUCUAUUAUGGUAUACUAAAAGUAAAAAAUAGGGUUAAAAUAAACUAAUUUGAUAUUAGUUUAAAACUUGAAUGUUUAGUUAGUUUGAAAAACUUGGUUUAUGAACCAAACAAAUUGAAUUUUAAUUGACUAAACUCGUUAAAUAAACGAAUCAAACUUGGGUCAAAUACAUUUCAAUUUGUUAGAUUCAUGAAUUGGUUUGACUAUAUAUAUGCAUGCAUGUACAUAUAUAUGUAGAGAAUCAUUUUUAAAUUGAUACAUAUCAAAUAAAUAAGCAUCAUUUCAGUUGAAGAAAUGAACUAGUCAAAUUAACGAGUUGAACUAAACAAAUCGAGAACUCUUAAUGGGACUAAACCAAUUCGAACCGACAAAUUGAAUUAAACAAUUUCUUAACUAAAUUGAGUUGAGCUCAAGCUAAAAAAGUAGCUCACAUAUCGAACCCAGAUCAAGUUUGGCUAGUUGAACUUAAGUUCGACUCGCUCUAGUUAUUUUCCUAUUCUAGGAGGAACUGCAAUAAACAUUAGUCUAAGGUUAAACCUUUGUUUUCCUAUUUCAAUGAGAAACUACAAUAAACAUUAGUCUAAGGUAACUAGGUUAAAUUUUGAUCUUGUAUGCCCUCAAGUGAAUAAGAGGAAUGAUAUGUGUAUAAUCCACAUAUGAUCUAACAUUUAAUGUGAUAAAUAUAUGUUAAUUAUUUUGACCUUCUUAGAUAAGCCAUCCUACCUAUCCUAUAGCCUUUAAGACAUUCAAACUAUUAAUAUGAAGCCUUUUGGAGACCUGAGUUCUAAACUCUUACAAUUGGUAACACAUUUCAGAUCACAAACCGAGGAAUCAAUGGAUGACAUUUUCCAUGUGGUGAAAAGGUAAAUUGCUUCUGUUCCAUACAAUUUUUGGCCCAUUGAUUAGUUCAUGAUCUUAUUCUAGUUACCAAUAAUAGAUAUACUGAUAUAGGUACUUUGAAAUGAAGAUAAAAGGAGGUAUAUAAUGACAGUUUAAGAAUUUUUUUACAUUGUCAAUGUAUCAUUUACCAUUCAUUUUUAAUCAUUAUUGACUUUUAAAUUAAAAUAAUAUAAAUAAAUGAUGUAUAAUACAUUGACUAUGUAUAAAUCUUUACACUAUUGGUACAUAAAUAUUACCCUCUUUAAUGAAUUGUGCAACCCAUUCACUUAAAUCUAUGUCAAACUUUUAUGCAUUUUAAAAAUGGGGAGGGGGUUCCGAUUCUAUUGACAAAACAUUUCUUUUUUUGGGUACAUAUUUAUAAAACAUUUCUAAUCAAACUAGUUAUUUGUCAUGAUUUUAAAAAAACAUUAUAAAGUUACAAGUUGACACUUAUUUAAUAUUGUUCACUAAUUAAUAGUCUUAAUAACAACAACAAUAAAAAGAGAUAUUUAAAUCCUUUAAUAAAGACAAAUGAGGGAAAACAAUAAAUAAAAUAUAAAAAUGUAAAAAAUAUUAUAAAAGAAGAAACAUUUUAUAUUAUAUUUUAUAAUGAAAUUCAGAGGGAAUAAUUGUUUUAAAACAUUUGUAUUAGAAUGUGAAAUGUCCAUUAUGUAAAAGGAUUUGAUCGUUGCAGAUAUUAUUUAAUAUUUAUCAGUAUUGUUAGUCUGGAUCCAUUAUCAUCCGUAGAUAGAGAUGUGUUCUUGAUCUUAAUUUUUUUUAGAUCUGUAAUAAUUCCUAUUGGUAUUCGGUACCACAGACUUCAAAUGUCACUAACUUCACACACAAAUAAAUCAUCCAAGUUCUGAAGACUGUACCAGAUACUAACUACAAAAUCUACAUGAUCAUCUUUAGUUUAAAUAUAAUAAUUUCCCGCUUCCAAUAAUCCAAUAUAAUUAGGUAUGUGUGUCAGUUAUAUGUUUUUUAACAAAAAAUUAAUCACUUUGUACAGCUUUCCGAACAAACAAUUAAGUGUUAUGCAUUGACAACUUCAGCUUUCUAAAGAAGCUGUUAUCAAUAGUUCAACUUCAAAGUGGAGGCAUUCAAGUGACAGAGAAAGCUUCAUAUUUAUUGGUUUUCAAAGCCAUCAACUUCAUGCCAUGGUUAUCUUAGUAGUAAUCAGUCAAAACAUAUAUAUAUAGAGUCUCACCCA